GACGAACGCUGGCGGCGUGCUUAACACAUGCAAGUCGAACGGAAAGGCCCUGCUUUUGUGGGGUGCUCGAGUGGCGAACGGGUGAGUAACACGUGAGUAACCUGCCCUUGACUUUGGGAUAACUUCAGGAAACUGGGGCUCAUACCGGAUAGGAGCUCCUGCUGCAUGGUGGGGGUUGGAAAGUUUCGGCGGUUGGGGAUGGACUCGCGGCUUAUCAGCUUGUUGGUGGGGUAGUGGCUUACCAAGGCUUUGACGGGUAGCCGGCCUGAGAGGGUGACCGGCCACAUUGGGACUGAGAUACGGCCCAGACUCCUACGGGAGGCAGAAGUGGGGAAUAUUGCACAAUGGGCGGAAGCCUGAUGCAGCAACGCCGCGUGCGGGAUGACGGCCUUCGGGUUGUAAACCGCUUUCGCCUGUGACGAAGCGUGAGUGACGGUAAUGGGUAAAGAAGCACCGGCUAACUACGUG
rnacentral:rRNA from 1 species